rnacentral:misc_RNA from 1 species
UGCCUUCGCCUCUAAGCCUGUGUCGCUA